CGGAGCUUGCUCCACCGGAAAAAGAAGAGUGGCGAACGGGUGAGUAACACGUGGGUAACCUGCCCAUCAGAAGGGGAUAACACUUGGAAACAGGUGCUAAUACCGUAUAACAAUCGAAACCGCAUGGUUUUGAUUUGAAAGGCGCUUUCGGGUGUCGCUGAUGGAUGGACCCGCGGUGCAUUAGCUAGUUGGUGAGGUAACGGCUCACCAAGGCCACGAUGCAUAGCCGACCUGAGAGGGUGAUCGGCCACAUUGGGACUGAGACACGGCCCAAACUCCUACGGGAGGCAGCAGUAGGGAAUCUUCGGCAAUGGACGAAAGUCUGACCGAGCAACGCCGCGUGAGUGAAGAAGGUUUUCGGAUCGUAAAACUCUGUUGUUAGAGAAGAACAAGGAUGAGAGUAACUGUUCAUCCCUUGACGGUAUCUAACCAGAAAGCCACGGCUAACUACGUGCCAGCAGCCGCGGUAAUACGUAGGUGGCAAGCGUUGUCCGGAUUUAUUGGGCGUAAAGCGAGCGCAGGCGGUUUCUUAAGUCUGAUGUGAAAGCCCCCGGCUCAACCGGGGAGGGUCAUUGGAAACUGGGAGACUUGAGUGCAGAAGAGGAGAGUGGAAUUCCAUGUGUAGCGGUGAAAUGCGUAGAUAUAUGGAGGAACACCAGUGGCGAAGGCGGCUCUCUGGUCUGUAACUGACGCUGAGGCUCGAAAGCGUGGGGAGCAAACAGGAUUAGAUACCCUGGUAGUCCACGCCGUAAACGAUGAGUGCUAAGUGUUGGAGGGUUUCCGCCCUUCAGUGCUGCAGCUAACGCAUUAAGCACUCCGCCUGGGGAGUACGACCGCAAGGUUGAAACUCAAAGGAAUUGACGGGGGCCCGCACAAGCGGUGGAGCAUGUGGUUUAAUUCGAAGCAACGCGAAGAACCUUACCAGGUCUUGACAUCCUUUGACCACUCUAGAGAUAGAGCUUCCCCUUCGGGGGCAAAGUGACAGGUGGUGCAUGGUUGUCGUCAGCUCGUGUCGUGAGAUGUUGGGUUAAGUCCCGCAACGAGCGCAACCCUUAUUGUUAGUUGCCAUCAUUUAGUUGGGCACUCUAGCAAGACUGCCGGUGACAAACCGGAGGAAGGUGGGGAUGACGUCAAAUCAUCAUGCCCCUUAUGACCUGGGCUACACACGUGCUACAAUGGGAAGUACAACGAGUCGCGAAGUCGCGAGGCUAAGCUAAUCUCUUAAAGCUUCUCUCAGUUCGGAUUGUAGGCUGCAACUCGCCUACAUGAAGCCGGAAUCGCUAGUAAUCGCGGAUCAGCACGCCGCGGUGAAUACGUUCCCGGGCCUUGUACACACCGCCCGUCACACCACGAGAGUUUUAACACCCGAAGUCGGUGAGGUAACCUUUGAGCC
rnacentral:rRNA from 1 species